GAUGAACGCUGGCGGCGUGCCUAAUACAUGCAAGUCGAGCGAACGGACGAGAAGCUUGCUUUUCUGAUGUUAGCGGCGGACGGGUGAGUAACACGUGGAUAACCUACCUAUAAGACUGGGAUAACUUCGGGAAACCGGAGCUAAUACCGGAUAAUAUUUUGAACCGCAUGGUUCAAAAGUGAAAGACGGUCUUGCUGUCACUUAUAGAUGGAUCCGCGCUGCAUUAGCUAGUUGGUAAGGUAACGGCUUACCAAGGCAACGAUGCAUAGCCGACCUGAGAGGGUGAUCGGCCACACGGGAACUGAGACACGGUCCAGACUCCUACGGGAGGCAGAAGUAGGGAAUCUUCCGCAAUGGGCGAAAGCCUGACGGAGCAACGCCGCGUGAGUGAUGAAGGUCUUCGGAUCGUAAAACUCUGUUAUUAGGGAAGAACAUAUGUGUAAGUAACUGUGCACAUCUUGACGGUACCUAAUCAGAAAGCCACGGCUAACUACGUG
rnacentral:rRNA from 1 species